GGGGGGACGCAGUAGGAUAGGCGAAGCGUGCUAUUGGAUUGCACGUCCAAGCAGUAAGACUGAGUGUUAGGCAAAUCCGGCACUCAUAAGGUCAAGCUGUGAUGGGGAGAGGAAAUUGUUUCCUCGAGUCGUUGAUUUCACACUGCCAAGAAAAGCCUCUAGAUAGAUAACAGGUGCCCGUACCGCAAACCGACACAGGUAGUCAAGAUGAGAAUUCUAAGGUGAGCGAGCGAACUCUCGUUAAGGAACUCGGCAAAAUGACCCCGUAACUUCGGGAGAAGGGGUGCUCUUUAGGGUUAACGCCCAGAAGAGCCGCAGUGAAUAGGCCCAAGCGACUGUUUAUCAAAAACACAGGUCUCUGCUAAACCGUAAGGUGAUGUAUAGGGGCUGACGCCUGCCCGGUGCUGGAAGGUUAAGAGGAGUAGUUAGCUUCUGCGAAGCUACGAAUCGAAGCCCCAGUAAACGGCGGCCGUAACUAUAACGGUCCUAAGGUAGCGAAAUUCCUUGUCGGGUAAGUUCCGACCCGCACGAAAGGCGUAACGAUUUGGGCACUGUCUCAACGAGAGACUCGGUGAAAUCAUAGUACCUGUGAAGAUGCAGGUUACCCGCGACAGGACGGAAAGACCCCGUGGAGCUUUACUGUAGCCUGAUAUUGAAAUUCGGCACAGCUUGUACAGGAUAGGUAGGAGCCUUUGAAACGUGAGCGCUAGCUUACGUGGAGGCAUUGGUGGGAUACUACCCUAGCUGUGUUGGCUUUCUAACCCGCACCACUUAUCGUGGUGGGAGACAGUGUCAGGUGGGCAGUUUGACUGGGGCGGUCGCCUCCUAAAAGGUAACGGAGGCGCUCAAAGGUUCCCUCAGAAUGGUUGGAAAUCAUUCAUAGAGUGUAAAGGCAUAAGGGAGCUUGACUGCGAGACUUACAAGUCGAGCAGGGUCGAAAGACGGACUUAGUGAUCCGGUGGUUCCGCAUGGAAGGGCCAUCGCUCAACGGAUAAAAGCUACCCCGGGGAUAACAGGCUUAUCUCCCCCAAGAGUUCACAUCGACGGGGAGGUUUGGCACCUCGAUGUCGGCUCAUCGCAUCCUGGGGCUGUAGUCGGUCCCAAGGGUUGGGCUGUUCGCCCAUUAAAGCGGUACGCGAGCUGGGUUCAGAACGUCGUGAGACAGUUCGGUCCCUAUCCGUCGUGGGCGUAGGAAAUUUGAGAGGAGCUGUCCUUAGUACGAGAGGACCGGGAUGGACAUACCUCUGGUGUACCAGUUGUCGUGCCAACGGCAUAGCUGGGUAGCUAUGUAUGGACGGGAUAAGUGCUGAAAGCAUCUAAGCAUGAAGCCCCCCUCAAGAUGAGAUUUCCCAACUUCGGUUAUAAGAUCCCUCAAAGAUGAUGAGGUUAAUAGGUUCGAGGUGGAAGCGUGGUGACACGUGGAGCUGACGAAUACUAAUCGAUCGAAGACUUAAUC
rnacentral:rRNA from 1 species